rnacentral:rRNA from 1 species
UACGUAGGGGGCAAGCGUUGUCCGGAUUUAUUGGGCGCAAAGAGCUCGUAGGUGGUUCGGUAAGUCGGAUGUGAAAUCUCCAGGCUCAACCUGGAGGGGUCAUUCGAUACUGCCGUGACUAGAGGUCGGUAGGGGAGUGUGGAAUUCCUGGUGGAGCGGUGAAAUGCGCAGAUAUCAGGAGGAACACCCGUAGCGAAGGCGGCACUCUGGGCCGAUACUGACACUGAGGAGCGAAAGCGUGGGGAGCGAACAGG